GCCUCUGUAGCUUAGUCAGUGGAGCACGCCCUUGGUAAGGGUGAGGUCACGGGUGCAAUUCCCGUCAGAGGCU
rnacentral:tRNA from 1 species